UACGUAGGGGGCAAGCGUUGUCCGGAUUUACUGGGCGUAAAGAGCGUGUAGGCGGCCAAGCAGGUCCGUUGUGAAAACUGGAGGCUUAACCUCCAGACGUCGACGGAAACCGCGUGGCUAGAGUCCGGAAGAGGUGAGUGGAAUUCCUAGUGUAGAGGUGAAAUUCGUAGAUAUUAGGAAGAACACCAGUGGCGAAGGCGGCUCACUGGUCCGGCACUGUCGCUGAGGUGCGAAAGCGUGGGGAGCAAACAGG
rnacentral:rRNA from 1 species